rnacentral:lncRNA from 1 species
CCUUCUACUGAAAAAAGCAGAGUGAGAAGCCAAAGACCUCAGACUCAGGGAUGUGUAUAUAUCAUUACUCAACAAAAUAUCCAAGUUUCUAAUACGAUGAUAGCAAGUACCAUUUUAGUACUCAACACUUAUGUAUGUGCUUUACUUGAUGCUGGUGCCACUCAUUCUUUUAUAUCCACUGAAUUUGUUGAAAAACGUGAUACUUUAGAGACAAUAGUAUAUGAUGAAAUCCUGAUGGAAGAUAUAUUAGUUAUCAGUUAUGUUUGUAAGUUCAAUGUUAUUAAAAUAGGAGAUAAGGAGCUGGUGGC